rnacentral:rRNA from 1 species
AGCACUGUAGAGAGUUUGAUCCUGGCUCAGGAUGAACGCUGGCGGCGUGCCUAACACAUGCAAGUCGAGCGGCAGCGCGAGUAGUUUACUACUUGGCGGCGAGCGGCGGACGGCUGAGUAACGCGUGGGAACGUGCCCCAAAGUGAGGAAUAACUGCCCGAAAGGGUAGCUAAUGCCGCAUAUGAUCUUCGGAUUAAAGAAUUUAUUCGCUUUGGGAGCGGCCCGCGUACGAUUAGAUAGUUGGUGAGGUAAUGGCUCACCAAGUCUACGAUCGUUAACUGGUUUGAGAGGAUGAUCAGUCAGACUGGAACUGAGACACGGUCCAGACUCCUACGGGAGGCAGCAGUGAGGAAUCUUCCACAAUGGGCGAAAGCCUGAUGGAGCAACGCCGCGUGCAGGAUGAAGGCCUUCGGGUCGUAAACUGCUUUUAUAAGUGAAGAAUAUGACGGUAACUUAUGAAUAAGGAUCGGCUAACUACGUGCCAGCMGCCGCGGUAAUA